GGUUGUUCAUUUAUUCGUCACUGGAUUUUUUUUAUCGGACUUUCUAUAUUCUUCUAUGUCUUUCUCUCGAACCAAUUUCGGUCUUACUUUGUAGUUUUGGGUUCCAUUUAAGUCUUUUUCAGUAGUUUUUCUCUACAAUGAGGAUGACUAAAAUGGCGCAGGAUGUCAUACUAGAGGCUGAUGGGUGAUGGCUGAUGCUAGGAGCCUUUAAGAAGUCAUGUGCAGGUAUAACCUUGGACACAUCAAGAGAAGUAGUUGCUACUUACUGCGGAGGAUAAGUUACAAUUUUAUCACAGUAUGAUGAGAUUGGUGGGAGCGCUUCGUGCCAAAUCAUGAUUACUAGCUACACACUUUGUUAUUGGCUUGAUUUGGUGUCUUCCAGAAAUGAACUCAGUACAGAAUCCCAAAAUGCUGCCAGAUUUGAGAUGACGCUAUGACCGUAUACAUGGAGAUUAAAAGUUCAAAAAUGGAUAUAGCCUUUCGAAAGGCAAAAGUCAUCUUUUCCCUUGAAGCUCCAUGGGUGGCUUUUGGAACUCAAUGCUAAUCCGAUUGUAGCAUACCUGUAUCUCCUGUAGACUUACAUGGCAUGGUCAAUUCAUCUUGCCAUUAAGAUUCUGUGUUUCUGAAAUUCAUCGCAAGUACUGGUGGUCAAGCAAUAAAACUCUAAAGAAAAGAGGUAGUAGUUCGUGAUAUGCGAGUGGACAUUGAAUGGAUAUUAUGUUUCUCAUGACAUUUGAAUCCAGCAGAGAACAUUGAUUUGCUGAAAUUGAAAUUUGAAGUAAAAAACAUUACUUUAAAUCCUAAUGAGGCGGACCAGCUAGAAGGGAACUGUAGUCGAGGUUUGACAUGGCAGUGAUGGCGUUUUAAAUUUUUGGUUGGGUGUAAGUAGUAGUCUCCUGAAGCUUCCUUAUAGCAUAAGCAUGGUCAGUUUAUCAUAAAUUUUGUCUUUCAGAGUGACUCUUCACCAUAGCGGAGUCCAGGUAUUUUUGUGUUCGUCAGAACUAGAAGAUACAAGUCGCAUGCAGAUGCAAUGUGAUCUUGCUUCAACUGUUUGUAAAUUCUUCAUUUUGUAUUUGGGAUUAAGCUUGGUACUGUUAAGAGAUGUACGAAAUCAGUUUGAAGGUUGUAGCUACAUUAAGUUGCAAGGAAGCUAUAUAACUGUGUUGGUCCGAAGGUUUCAUAUGCAGUAAUUAGGAAGCUGUGAAAGAAGGAAUGCUAGAUACGAUUGGCAGGCGAAACAAGAAUAUAAAUGAAGACUCAUUCAGGAAUACUCCGUUUCAAUUUAUUUUUAGUUGGGAGGAGACUGUAAUAAUGUAGUUAUUUCUGCGGUUUUCUUGACAUGCAUCGUUGAUCGUCCUCUGUAAAUAUUUUCUGUUCUUUAACAUAUAACUUUUUCUUCUCAAGCAAAAAAUAAAAAACUAC